ACAGAGGGUGCGAGCGUUGUCCGGAAUCACUGGGCGUAAAGGGCGCGUAGGCGGCCUGAUAAGUCGGGGGUGAAAUCCUGUGGCUCAACCGCAGGGCUGCCUCCGAGAUUGUCGGGCUCGAGCACAGUAGAGGCAGGUGGAAUUCCCGGUGUAGCGGUGGAAUGCGUAGAGAUCGGGAAGAACACCUGUGGCGAAAGCGGCGCACUGGACCACAACUGACGCUGAGGCGCGAAAGCUAGGGGAGCAAACGGGA
rnacentral:rRNA from 1 species